rnacentral:lncRNA from 1 species
GUUAAUUUUACCUUUUUUUGCACAGCUGGAGAUCAAGGAGGCUGGAAUAAUCUCUACCUUGUGUGCGUUGGGUCUUUGCGCUUGGGAUUCUUGUCUAUUGUUUUCUUUUGUUUGCUUGGGUUUCAUGUUGCUCAUUCUUUUUACGUCUCUCUUCUGUGUCACUGUGCCACUUGUUUCAGUUUUUUUUGCUUUUUUCCUUAAUAUGGCAGACUGUAUUACCAGGGUUGUUUCACUGUAAUAUUUUGUGAGUUUGUCUAUUAACAUUACUACCUAGAAUGUCAAAGGUAUGAACCCUGUAACUAGAAUAUUUUAGCAUUCUCACAAAGAAAUGCAUUACUGCAAGAAAUAAUCUCCACUCGCACACUCACGAUUUAGAAUCACCAAUUUACAUGAAACACAUGUGCCCUGCUCUGUUUUUUGUUAUUGAUGUUAUAAUGUUUUCAUUAUUAUUAUGGGCCAGCAUGCUGGGACAGUGGGCAGUGCUGACACCUCACAAAUUUUGUUUUUUUUUUCUCCCCAGAUCUAAAUUUGUCUAUUCAGAGGUUCAAGGUUCCACCCAUGUGCACAUUGGUUUCCUCCCACUAGCAAAAGAUAUGUUUCAGGUGAAGUUGCAAAGACUCAUCGACAUCUAAGUGUUAUUGGCCAGCAGAAAUGGAAGAUGACUGAAAAGUGACAUCUGCACUGGACCACAGGGAGGCUGGCUACCCCAGAAAGAUUUUGGUCUUGCUGUUGGUAUUGAGGUGCUACAGCUGAACUGUCUAUUUUGGGAAUGAGUGCUAGAGGCCUCAGAUGUGUAUUUUGUGUAAAUAUAUAUAUACAUAGUUCAUUGUAAACCAGCAACUGCCGGAAAGGGGUGAGUGCUUGUUUUGUACCAGUUUUUCUCCUGUUUUUUCUUUAGUUAGGAGUCAAGUUAGACUGGUGUAUUUUCGUUUGAUUUUGUUUGGAUAGGGUAGAAAGUGGCACAAAGGGUAGGAUUUAUUUUGUUUGUUGUUUUGGUGCGCCUAAUCCCUGGGGAGAUGGUUUAUGAGUUGCCAGUGGUCAAUAAAGCAGACUUUUGUAUCUUGAAAGAACUGGUG